rnacentral:rRNA from 1 species
GAUGAACGCUGGCGGCGUGCCUAAUACAUGCAAGUCGAGCGAACGGACGAGAAGCUUGCUUCUCUGAUGUUAGCGGCGGACGGGUGAGUAACACGUGGAUAACCUACCUAUAAGACUGGGAUAACUUCGGGAAACCGGAGCUAAUACCGGAUAAUAUUUUGAACCGCAUGGUUCAAAAAUGAAAGACGGUCUUGCUGUCACUUAUAGAUGGAUCCGCGCUGCAUUAGCUAGUUGGUAAGGUGACGGCUUACCAAGGCAACGAUGCAUAGCCGACCUGAGAGGGUGAUCGGCCACACUGGAACUGAGACACGGUCCAGACUCCUACGGGAGGCAGCAGUAGGGAAUCUUCCGCAAUGGGCGAAAGCCUGACGGAGCAACGCCGCGUGAGUGAUGAAGGUCUUCGGAUCGUAAAACUCUGUUAUUAGGGAAGAACAUAUGUGUAAGUAACUGUGCACAUCUUGACGGUACCUAAUCAGAAAGCCACGGCUAACUACGUG